ACACUGAAAAAAAAGAUUUAGUAAAAACGCGAAGUACUAUUCUCUAUCAUGGCAUUGCUUAAGAUUAAUUACUUUUUCGUUUUUCUUCUCAUAGCAACAAUUAUCAACUUGUCGUGGUUCUCAGAGAUGCAAGGAGUAGCUGCACGUGAUGUUGAUCAUGGUAUUUUAGGACUCAAGAAGAGACUACUCCCACAAGUCGAUGAUUUUGUUUUGACUUGUUAUAGGCCUUGUACAGAAGACAAAGAAUGCAGUGAUUGCUCGCUUUGUUGUUCAUGCCAUGGCGCCGAAGGUUUCAAAACUUGUAGCUUCUGGUAGUACAAUUAUAUUAAUACCCAAAAUAAAGAAUCACCCAACAAAAAAUUAAAUCCCUUAUUAUGUUGUGGUGUUUCUAUGCACUUGAUGUCAAGUGUUUCCUUCAUCUUUUCUUGCUUCCUUGUAUUUUAUGUUUUGUACGAAUAAAGAAAAAGUCAAGUGAAUGACUUUUCAAAAGUAA